rnacentral:tRNA from 1 species
GGCCCUGUAGCUCAGUGGAUAGAGCGUCUGCCUCCGGAGCAGAAGGCCGCCCGUUCAAAUCGGGCCAGGGUCA